GGAGUUAGCCGGUGCUUCUUCUGUGAGUGAUGUCCUUCCUGCCGGCUAUUAACCCGCAGGCCUUCUUCCUCACUGAAAGUGCUUUACAACCCGAAGGCCUUCUUCACACACGCGGCAUGGCUGGAUCAGGGUUGCCCCCAUUGUCCAAUAUUCCCCACUGCUGCCUCCCGUAGGAGUCUGGGCCGUGUCUCAGUCCCAGUGUGGCUGAUCAUCCUCUCAGACCAGCUACGGAUCGUCGCCUUGGUGAGCCGUUACCUCACCAACCAGCUAAUCCGACAUAGGCUCAUCCGAUAGCGCGAGGCCCGAAGGUCCCCCGCUUUCCCCCGUAGGGCGUAUGCGGUAUUAGCCCUGGGUUUCCCCAGGUUAUCCCCCACUACCCGGGCAGAUUCCUAUGCAUUACUCACCCGUCCGCCGCUCGCCACCAGGGAGCAAGCUCCCCGUGCUGCCGCUCGACUUGCAUGUGUUAGGCCUGCCGCCAGCGUUCAAUCUGAGCCAGAUCAAACUCUGA
rnacentral:rRNA from 1 species